rnacentral:misc_RNA from 1 species
GUGAGGUUGUUUUCGUGGAAAAGAAGAAACCCAACCAUUACUCCAAAAUUCUAAACCCCUGAUAUUAAACUAUUCUUUGUUUUGUGAGAUGACGAAUACGUCUCAGUUUAUGGACAAGCAGAUAAUGGAUUUGAUCUCUUCUUCAACUUCAAAUCAAUCGCCGACGUCUUCUUCCCCUAAGCAAACCACCACCAUCACCGCCAGCAGAGAUUUUAUUGAUCUGAUGAAUCCUCCCGAGGACGACAGUCAACACCAGAGUCAUUAUAAUUGCAAUACUAGUUCCAUCAUUGGAAGUGCUG